CCUACGGGAGGCUGCAGUGGGGAAUAUUGCACAAUGGGGGAAACCCUGAUGCAGCGACGCCGCGUGAGUGAAGAAGUAUUUCGGUACGUAAAGCUCUAUCAGCAGGGAAGAAAAUGACGGUACCUGACUAAGAAGCCCCGGCUAACUACGUGCCAGCAGCCGCGGUAAUACGGAGGGGGCAAGCGUUAUCCGGAUUUACUGGGUGUAAAGGGAGCGUAGACGGCAGCGCAAGUCUGGAGUGAAAUCCCAUGGCUUAACCAUGGAACUGCUUUGGAAACUGUGCAGCUAGAGUGCAGGAGAGGUAAGCGGAAUUCCUAGUGUAGCGGUGAAAUGCGUAGAUAUUAGGAGGAACACCAGUGGCGAAGGCGGCUUACUGGACUGUAACUGACGUUGAGGCUCGAAAGCGUGGGGAGCAAACAGGAUUAGAUACCCCAGUAGUC
rnacentral:rRNA from 1 species